AGCAUUUGUGUUUGUUUUUGUUUAAUUUGUGGACAAAGACUUACAGACAAGUGUGAAAGUAAAUCCUCUUUUGCAACACACAACUCAUUGUUCAGUAUGAGUUUUGAUACAGAUAAGAAGGAACAUG
ensembl:snoRNA